UCAGAGUGCAAAUCUGAUGUAGCGUCCUAGUAGGUGCCGGGGCUUCUCCCGUUU
rnacentral:tRNA from 1 species